UUAAAAACACACCAGAUGUAAUAUAAACAGUCUCACACGGGAAUUCGUUUAGUAUUUUCUGGAUCUGCUAGCGGUGUCACGGUGUCCGUCUGUUCGCUGUUACUCGUCUUCAUACAGUUUGUCUUCAAGUGAUUGUCACAAUAUCAGAGAUGUUUGCUCCACCUUGAAUGACGUCAUAAUAUUGACUGAAACUACACUAGGAGACCAAAUGACUGAACAUUCAUUCUUUAGUUCGUGAUUAUAUUUCCUGUUGCAUCGUCUCGAGAAUUACACCACACGCUGUGAAAGACCAAAAGCUAGAUCGUAAUUUUGGUAUCCUGUAACAUUGUUAUAAUUUAUUAAUUAAACAACUUUGAAAGUUUUAAUUGAUUUCUAUUCUUACUUUGCAAAAAUGUCAAGAUCGAUCCUGUGAGCUAUCUAUAUAAGGGAUAAUGUACGAUGAAGUGUGGUACAUGAACAUUAAUUCCCGUGUCCUGUACUGUUGGGGCAACUUAAUCCAUUUUUAAUUUUAAAACAGUCUGGUUUGGGUUUGGUACCAAUCCCCGUCGGUGGACCCAUUAGGCUAUUUCUCGUUCCAGCCAGUGCACCGCGACUGGGAUAUGAAAGGCCGUGGUAUGUGUUAUCCUGUCUGUGGGAUGAUGCAUUUUAAAGAUUCCUUGAUAUUAAUGGAAAAUAGUCUUAAGUGAAAAUAGGGCGGGUUUCGUCUCUUAAGACUAUUUCAAAAUUACCAAAAUGCUGAUGAUUAAUAAAUUGAUAUACUCUAGUGGUGUCGUUAAACAAAACAAACUUUAACUAAAAUUAAUAUUUCCACCUUCAAUGCAAGCAAUAGACACCAUUCAUUUGAUGUGGUCAACUACAC